UACAGUAUAUAAGGCUAGUGUAUUAACAGCAAUAUUACAGUCAACAUUCAGCAACUAGAACUUCUUCAUCAUCUAUAACAAUUCAGCUUCAAGAUGUCUUACAGAACUUCGAUCAUCGAUUCCGGAUCAGAGAACGAAUUUGAGUCCCUGGACACAAAAAAGCCUUCUACUUCAAAGCAGGUCAAAACAUCGUUAAAAAGAGGGGCUGAAAAAACAGUAGACAAAAAAAACAAAAAAAAACAGAUGAAAACAAGUUCAUCAUACAGAGAAA